rnacentral:rRNA from 1 species
GAUGAACGCUAGCGGCAGGCUUAACACAUGCAAGUCGAGGGGUAACAGGGAAGAGCUUGCUUUUCCGCUGACGACCGGCGCACGGGUGCGUAACGCGUAUAGAACCUACCUUUUACAGGGGAAUAGCCCAGAGAAAUUUGGAUUAAUGCCCCAUAGUAUUAUUGAAUGGCAUCAUUUAAUAAUUAAACAUUUAUGGGUAAAAGAUGGCUAUGCGUUCUAUUAGCUAGAUGGUAAGGUAACGGCUUACCAUGGCAACGAUAGAUAGGGGUCCUGAGAGGGAGAUCCCCCACACUGGUACUGAGACACGGACCAGACUCCUACGGGAGGCAGCAGUGAGGAAUAUUGGACAAUGGAGGCAACUCUGAUCCAGCCAUGCCGCGUGCAGGAAGACGGUCCUAUGGAUUGUAAACUGCUUUUAUAUAGGAAGAAACCUUUCCACGUGUGGAAAGCUGACGGUACUAUAAGAAUAAGCACCGGCUAACUCCGUGCCAGCAGCCGCGGUAAUACGGAGGGUGCAAGCGUUAUCCGGAAUCAUUGGGUUUAAAGGGUCCGUAGGCGGACUAAUAAGUCAGGGGUGAAAUCCAACAGCUUAACUGUUGAACUGCCUUUGAUACUGUUAGUCUUGAGUUAUAUGGAAGUAGAUAGAAUAUGUAGUGUAGCGGUGAAAUGCUUAGAGAUUACAUAGAAUACCGAUUGCGAAGGCAGUCUACUACGUAUA